ACUCCUACGGGAGGCAGCAGUGGGGAAUAUUGCACAAUGGGCGCAAGCCUGAUGCAGCAACGCCGCGUGAGCGAUGAAGGCCUCGGUCGUAAAGCUCUGUCCUCAAGGAAGAAUAAAUGACGGUACUUGAGGAGGAAGCCCGGCUAACUACGUGCCAGCAGCCGCGGUAAUACGUAGGGGGCAAGCGUUAUCCGGAAUCACUGGGCGUAAAGGGUGCGUAGGCGGUUUUCAAGUCAGAAGUGAAAGGCUAUGGCUCAACCAUAGUAAGCUUUUGAAACUGUUAAACUUGAGUGCAGGAGAGGAAAGUGGAAUUCCUAGUGUAGAGGUGAAAUUCGUAGAUAUUAGGAGGAACACCAGUGGCGAAGGCGACUUUCUGGACUGUAACUGACGCUGAGGCACGAAAGCGUGGGGAGCGAACAGGAUUAGAUACCCUGGUAGCAGAGAG
rnacentral:rRNA from 1 species